rnacentral:rRNA from 1 species
AGCAGCCGCGGUAAUUCCAGCUCCAAUAGCGUAUAUUAAAGUUGCUGCAGUUAAAAAAGCUCGUAGUUGAAUUUCGGGAUCGAUAUAUCGGUCGUGUCUCGGUACGUACUGGUAUUUUCGGUUUCUCCCUUCUGACGAACCUUGAUGUCAUUAAUUUGGUGUCUUGGGGAAUCAGGACUGUUACUUUGAAAAAAUUAGAGUGUUUAAAGCAGGCUCACGCUUGAAUACAUUAGCAUGGAAUAAUGAAAUAGGACGUUUGAUUCUAUUUUGUUGGUUUCUAGGAUCGACGUAAUGAUUAAUAGGGAUAGUUGGGGGCAUUAGUAUUCAAUUGUCAGAGGUGAAAUUCUUGGAUUUAUUGAAGACUAACUACUGCGAAAGCAUUUGCCAAGGAUGUUUUCAUUAAUCAAGAACGAAAGUUAGGGGAUCGAAGACGAUCAGAUACCGUCGUAGUCUUAACCAUAAACUAUGCCGACUAGGGAUCGGAUGAUGUUAAUUUUUUAAUGACUCAUUCGGCGCCUUA